rnacentral:rRNA from 1 species
GAUGAACGCUGGCGGCGUGCCUAAUACAUGCAAGUCGAGCGAACAGACGAGGGGCUUGCUCCUCUGACGUUAGCGGCGGACGGGUGAGUAACACGUGGAUAACCUACCUAUAAGACUGGGAUAACUUCGGGAAACCGGAGCUAAUACCGGAUAAUAUAUUGAACCGCAUGGUUCAAUAGUGAAAGACGGUUUUGCUGUCACUUAUAGAUGGAUCCGCGCCGCAUUAGCUAGUUGGUAAGGUAACAGCUUACCAAGGCAACGAUGCGUAGCCGACCUGAGAGGGUGAUCGGCCACACUGGAACUGAGACACGGUCCAGACUCCUACGGGAGGCAGCAGUAGGGAAUCUUCCGCAAUGGGCGAAAGCCUGACGGAGCAACGCCGCGUGAGUGAUGAAGGUCUUCGGAUCGUAAAACUCUGUUAUUAGGGAAGAACAAAUGUGUAAGUAACUAUGCACGUCUUGACGGUACCUAAUCAGAAAGCCACGGCUAACUACGUG